rnacentral:tRNA from 1 species
GGGCGUUUAGCUCAGUUGGUUAGAGCGCUUGCCUCACAUGCAAGAGGUCGCUGGUUCGAAUCCAGCAACGCCCACCA